GCUGCUGGAUCAUUACC
rnacentral:rRNA from 1 species